CAUGGGUUCCCCCGCGACGAUAGAUUGUGGACCCCGUCAGGCCCGGAAGGGAGCAGCGGCAGCAGUCGAUUCGGGUGCCGGGGUGUCGCUGAUGCGG
rnacentral:SRP_RNA from 1 species